rnacentral:rRNA from 1 species
CCCUUAGAUGUUCUGGGCUGCACGCGCGCUACACUGAUACUUUCAGCGAGUCCACCACCUUGCCUGGGAGGGUGGGGUAACCUCUGGAAAGUGCAUCGUGAUGGGGAUCGAUUAUUGUAAUUAUUAAUCUUCAACGAGGAAUACCUUGUAAGCGCGGGUCAUCAUCCCGCGCUGAAUACGUCCCUGCCCUUUGUACACACCGCCCGUCGCUCCUACCGAUUGAGUGGUCCGGUGAGGCUUUGGGAUCUGAGCGGAAAGAGCGUUUCGCUGUUUCUGCUCGGAAAACUCAGUCGAACCUUAUCAUUUAGAGGAAGGAGAAGUCGUAACA